CCUACGGGAGGCUGCAGUGGGGAAUAUUGGACAAUGGGGGCAACCCUGAUCCAGCCAUGCCGCGUGUGUGAAGAAGGCCCUCGGGUUGUAAAGCACUUUCAGUGAGGAAGAACGCCUGGUGGUUAAUACCCAUCAGGAAAGACAUCACUCACAAAGAAGCACCGGCUAACUCCGUGCCAGCAGCCGCGGUAAUACGGAGGGUGCGAGCGUUAAUCGGAAUUACUGGGCGUAAAGCGCGCGUAGGUGGCUUGAUAAGCCGGUUGUGAAAGCCCCGGGCUCAACCUGGGAACGGCAUCCGGAACUGUCAAGCUAGAGUGCAGGAGAGGAAGGUAGAAUUCCCGGUGUAGCGGUGAAAUGCGUAGAGAUCGGGAGGAAUACCAGUGGCGAAGGCGGCCUUCUGGACUGACACUGACACUGAGGUGCGAAAGCGUGGGUAGCAAACAGGAUUAGAUACCCUUGUAGUC
rnacentral:rRNA from 1 species